UGGGGAAUCUUGCACAAUGGGGGAAACCCUGAUGCAGCGACGCCGCGUGAACGAUGAAGCCCUUCGGGGUGUAAAGUUCUUUCGACAGGAACGACAAUGACGGUACCUGGAGAAGAAGCUGCGGCUAACUACGUGCCAGCAGCCGCGGUAAUACGUAGGCAGCGAGCGUUGUUCGGAGUUACUGGGCGUAAAGAGUGCGUAGGCGGCGAGCCAAGUUUGGUGUGAAAUCUCCCGGCUUAACCGGGAGGGUGCGCCGAAAACUGGUUGGCUGGAGUAUGGGAGAGGAAAGCGGAAUUCCUGGUGUAGCGGUGAAAUGCGUAGAUAUCAGGAGGAACACCUGCGGUGUAGACAGCUUUCUGGACCAAAACUGACGCUGAGGCACGAAAGCGUGGGUAGCAAACA
rnacentral:rRNA from 1 species